AUUGAACGCUGGCGGCAGGCCUAACACAUGCAAGUCGAACGAGUGGCGGACGGGUGCGUAAUGUCUGGGGAACUGCCUGAUGGAGGGGGAUAACUACUGGAAACGGUAGCUAAUACCGCAUACCAUCAGAUGUGCCCAGAUGGGUUUAGCUAGUUGGUGGGGUAACGGCUCACCAAGGCGACGAUCGCUAGCUGGUCUGAGAGGAUGACCAGCGACACUGGAACGGAGACACGUUCCAGACGCCUACGGGAGGCAGCAGUGGGGAAUAUUGCACAAUGGGCGCAAGCCUGAUGCAGCCAUGCAGCGUGUAUGAAGAAGGCCUUCGGGUUGUAAAGUACUUUCAGCGGGGAGGCGUUACCCGCAGAAGAAGCACCGGCUAACUCCGUGCCAGCAGCCGCGGUAAUUC
rnacentral:rRNA from 1 species